UACGAGGGGGGCAAAUGUUGUUCGGAAUCACUGGGCGUAAAGGGAGCGUAGGCGGGUUUCUAAGUCAGGUGUUUAAUCCCGGGGCCCAACCCCGGACAGGCACUUGAAACUGGGAAUCUUGAAUAGUGGAGAGGUCAGUGGAAUUGGGGGUGUAGCGGUGGAAUGCGCAGAUAUCAGGAGGAACACCGGUGGCGAAGGCGGUUCUCUGGGCAUUACCUGACGCUGAGGUGCGAAAGCGUGGGGAGCAAACAGG
rnacentral:rRNA from 1 species